rnacentral:rRNA from 1 species
GAUGAACGCUGGCGGCGUGCCUAAUACAUGCAAGUCGAGCGAACAGACGAGGAGCUUGCUCCUCUGUCGUUAGCGGAGGACGGGUGAGUAACACGUGGAUAACCUCCCUAUAAGUCUGGGAUCUUUUCGGGAAACCGGAGCUAAUACCGGAUAAUAUCUUGAACCGCAUGGUUCAAUGGUGAAAGACGGCUUUGCUGUCACUUAUAGAUGGAUCCCCGCCGCAUUGGCUAGUUGGUACGGUAACGGCUUAUGAAGGCGACGAUGCGUAGCCGACCGGAGAGAGUGGUCGGCCACACUGGAACGUAGACGCGGUCAAUGCGCCUACGGGAGGCAGCAGAAGGGUAUCGUCCGCAAUAGGCGAGAGCCUGACAGAAUGACGCCGAGUGAGUGAUGAAGGUCUUCGGAGCGUAAAACUCUGUUAUUAGGGAAGAACAAAUGUGUAAGGAGCUGAGCACUUCUUGACGGUACCGAAUCAGAAAGCCACGGCUAACUACGUG